rnacentral:hammerhead_ribozyme from 1 species
AUCUAACUGAUGAAUCAUAAAUAGGACAAAACGCGUGUCCUAGAU